rnacentral:ncRNA from 2 species
UCUACCGACACGGGGUGCCGCAAGGCUGAGAACACACCCGUCGAACCUGUUCGGACAAUGCUGACGAAGGGAUUGUCGCAUGCGCAGAUG